rnacentral:siRNA from 1 species
GAGAGCGUAAUAGUAGGCGACAUG